rnacentral:tRNA from 2 species
UGGGGCAUAGCUUAAUCGGUAGAGCAGCGGUCUCCAAAACCGUCGGAAUAGGUUCGAGUCCUAUUGCCCCAG